GAACGAACGCUGGCGGCGUGCUUAAUACAUGCAAGUCGAACGAGAAAGCCCGGCUUCGGUUGGGCGAGUAAAGUGGCGAACGGGUGAGUAACACGUGGGCAAUCUGCCCUCGAGUCUGGGAUAAUCCCUCGAAAGGGGGUCUAAUACCGGAUAACACCAUCUAUGGGCAUCCUGUGAUGGUCAAAGGCGGGGAAACCUGCCGCUUGGGGAUGAGCCCGCGCCCCAUUAGCUUGUUGGUAGGGUAAUGGCCUACCAAGGCGAUGAUGGGUAGCCGGCCUGAGAGGGCGACCGGCCACACUGGGACUGAGAUACGGCCCAGACUCCUACGGGAGGCAGCAGUAGGGAAUAUUGCGCAAUGGACGAAAGUCUGACGCAGCAACGCCGCGUGGGUGAUGAAGCUUCUUGGAGUGUAAAACCCUGUCAGUGGGGAAGAAACGUACGAGCAGUAACUGGUUCGUGCCUGACGGUACCCGCAGAGGAAGUCCCGGCUAACUCCGUGCCAGCAGCCGCGGUAAUACGGGGGGGACAAGCGUUGUUCGGAUUCACUGGGCGUAAAGGGCGCGUAGGCGGGCUUUCAAGUCGGAUGUGAAAACUGGCGGCUCAACUGCCAGCCUGCAUUCGAUACUGUUGGUCUUGAGUACGGGAGAGGAGAGCGGAAUUCCAGGUGUAGCGGUGAAAUGCGUAGAUAUCUGGAAGAACACCAGUAGCGAAGGCGGCUCUCUGGCCCGAUACUGACGCUGAAGCGCGAAGGCAUGGGGAGCAAACAGGAUUAGAUACCCUGGUAGUCCAUGCGGUAAACGAUGGGUACUAGUCGUCGGGGGUGUCGACCCCCUCGGUGCCGCAGCAAACGCAUUAAGUACCCCGCCUGGGGAGUACGGCCGCAAGGCUGAAACUCAAAGGAAUUGACGGGGGCCAGCACAAGCGGUGGAGUAUGUGGUUUAAUUCGAUGCAACGCGCAGAACACUUACCUGGGUUUGACAUGCUUAGGACCGUCGGUGAAAGCCGACUUCCUCUUCGGAGGCCUUUGCACAGGUGCUGCAUGGCUGUAGUCAGCUCGUGCCGUGAGUUGUUGGGUUAAGUCCCGCAACGAGCGCAACCCCUGUCCAUAGUUGCCAUCAGGUUAUGCUGGGAACUCUAUGGAGACUGCUGGUGAUAAGCUGGAGGAAGGUGGGGAU
rnacentral:rRNA from 1 species